rnacentral:rRNA from 1 species
GAUGAACGCUGGCGGCGUGCCUAAUACAUGCAAGUCGAACGAAGCCUUCGGGCUUAGUGGCGAACGGGUGAGUAACACGUUGGUACCUACCCUCUAGUGGGGAAUAACUGGCCGAAAGGUCGGCUAAUACCGCAUAAUACCGCAAGGUUAAAGCAGCAAUGCGCUAGAGGAGGGGCCUGCGUCCCAUUAGCUUGUUGGUAGUGUAAUGGACUACCAAGGCGACGAUGGGUAGCUGGAUCGAGAGGUUGACCAGCCACACUGGGACUGAGAUACGGCCCAGACUCCUACGGGAGGCAGCAGUAAGGAAUCUUCCACAAUGGACGAAAGUCUGAUGGAGCAACGCCGCGUGCAGGAUGACGGCCUUCGGGUUGUAAACUGCUUUUAUAUGGGAAGAUUAUGACGGUACCAUAUGAAUAAGGACCGGCUAACUACAUGCCAGCAGCCGCAGUAA